UACAGAGGGGGCUAGCGUUGUUCGGAAUUACUGGGCGUAAAGCGCGCGUAGGCGGCUUUGUAAGUUAGAGGUGAAAGCCCGGAGCUCAACUCCGGAACUGCCUUUAAGACUGCAUCGCUAGAAUUGUGGAGAGGUGAGUGGAAUUCCGAGUGUAGAGGUGAAAUUCGUAGAUAUUCGGAAAGAACACCAGUGGCGAAGGCGACUCACUGGACACAUAUUGACGCUGAGGUGCGAAAGCGUGGGGAGCAAACAGG
rnacentral:rRNA from 1 species